AAGUAUAAAAUGAAAAAAAAAACCACUGGGAUUGCCUCAGUAACGGCGAGUGAAGCGGCCAAUAGCUCAAAUUUGAAAUCUGGCUCUUUCAGAGUCCGAGUUGUAAUUUGUAGAGGAUGCUUCGGCUUACGCCCCGGCCUAAGUUCCUUGGAACAGGACGUCACAGAGGGUGAGAAUCCCGUACGUGGCCGGCGGCCUCCGCCAUGUGAAGCUCCUUCGACGAGUCGAGUUGUUUGGGAAUGCAGCUCUAAAUGGGAGGUAAAUUUCUUCUAAAGCUAAAUACUGGCCAGAGACCGAUAGCGCACAAGUAGAGUGAUCGAAAGAUGAAAAGCACUUUGGAAAGAGAGUUAAAAAGUACGUGAAAUUGUUGAAAGGGAAGCGCUUGCAACCAGACUUGCCCGCGGUUGUUCAGCCGGUCCUUCGGCCGGUGAACUCUUCCGCGGUCAGGCCAGCAUCAGUUUAGGCGGUCGGAUAAAGGCUCUAGGAA
rnacentral:rRNA from 1 species